CGGACGGGUGAGUAACACGUGGAUAACCUACCUAUAAGACUGGGAUAACUUCGGGAAACCGGAGCUAAUACCGGAUAAUAUAUUGAACCGCAUGGUUCAAUAGUGAAAGACGGUUUUGCUGUCACUUAUAGAUGGAUCCGCGCCGCAUUAGCUAGUUGUAAGGUAACGGCUUACCAAGGCAACAUGCGUAGCCGACCUGAGAGGGUGAUCGGUCACACUGGAACUGAGACACGGUCCAGACUCCUACGGGAGGCAGCAGCC
rnacentral:rRNA from 1 species